UACGUAGGGCGCAAGCGUUGUCCGGAAUUAUUGGGCGUAAAGAGCUCGUAGGCGGCUUGUCACGUCGGGUGUGAAAGCCCGGGGCUCAACCCAGGAAGUGCACUCGAAACUGUCAGGCUUGAAUAUGGAAGAGGGUCGCGGAAUUCCCGGUGUAGAGGUGAAAUUCGUAGAUAUCGGGAGGAACACCAGUGGCGAAGGCGGCGACCUGGGCCAAUAUUGACGCUGAGGUGCGAAAG
rnacentral:rRNA from 1 species